ACAGCGGCGGCGCAGGCGCGGAGAGGCGCAGGCCCAGGCUCCACUCCCCAGCUGUGAAAGGAGGAGCUCUACGGUGACUUUGAAGACUUGGAAACAGGACGUGCACAAGGGAAAAUCGGGCCCCGACACUCAGAAUGAAGAUAUAGAGAAACAAGGAAGAAAUUGACCCCGACGAAGAAGAAAGUGCCAAGAAAAAGCAUUUGGAUAAGAAGAGAAAAUUGAAGGAGAUGUUUGAUGCAGAAUAUGAUGAAGGAGAAAGCACAUAUUUUGAUGAUCUUAAAGGAGAAAUGCAGAAAGAAGCACAGGUGAUCAGUGGCCCGUGUGGCUUAUGGACACAGCAGAGCUCCC
rnacentral:lncRNA from 1 species